rnacentral:rRNA from 1 species
GACGAACGCUGGCGGCGUGCUUAACACAUGCAAGUCGAACGGAAAGGCCCUGCUUUUGUGGGGUGCUCGAGUGGCGAACGGGUGAGUAACACGUGAGUAACCUGCCCUUGACUUUGGGAUAACUUCAGGAAACUGGGGCUAAUACCGGAUAGGAGCUCCUGCUGCAUGGUGGGGGUUGGAAAGUUUCGGCGGUUGGGGAUGGACUCGCGGCUUAUCAGCUUGUUGGUGGGGUAGUGGCUUACCAAGGCUUUGACGGGUAGCCGGCCUGAGAGGGUGACCGGCCACAUUGGACUUGGGUUCCGCCCAGACUCCUUCCGGGAGGAAGCGUUGGGAAUAUUGCCACAUUGGCGGAAGCCCUAAUCCGGAACCCCCGCUUCCGGGAUGCCGCCUUUCGGUUGUAAACCGGCUUCCGCCUGUGCGGAGGCGUGGUUACCGUUAUUGGUAAAGGAGGCCCCGCCUACUUCCUU